ensembl:lncRNA
GUCGUCCCUAGGUGGGGUGAAUCAUGUUGUGCCAGGCUUUUUUUGCUAUACUCGACAUGAGUGGGUUGAGUCACUGAUGUGAUUUUCCUGUCUGUUUUUGCGCAGUGGGGAAGAUCUUCGUGGGCUAUACUCAGCCUUGUCUCAAUGGGAUCUCAUCUUCCUUCGACACAUGAAUCAUCAAAUCCUCCUCUCCACCCUCUCAGGGCUGGGCGUGUCAAGCUCUGCAUACUCUUGGAUUGCAUCCUACCUGGCAGGCCGCUCCUACCAGGUGAUGUGGAGAGGAUCUAUGUCUGCACCACAUACUCUACUGGUGGCGACGUGCAUCUCUACAGGCCUGCCUGAUAUCUCAGCUUGGAUGUCGGCCCACCACCUCUAGCUCAAUCUCGACAAGACUGAGCUGCCUGCCUACUCAAAGACCUCUACAGCUUCACCGUGUCGCCCUCCCAGAGUGUGAAGAACCUUGGUGUGACUCUGGACAACACCCUGUUGUUCUCUGCAAACAUCAAAGUAGCGACUCCUGCAGGUUCCUGCUCUAGAGUACAACACUACCUCCCACAGAAAGCAGAGCAGGUCCUAAUCCAGGCAUUUCUAAUUUCCGUCUGGACAAUUGCAACUUGCUGUUGGCUGAGCUCCCCACUUCUGCCUUCAACCCCUGCGACUUAUCCACAAGACUGCAUCUUGUCUGGUUUUCAACCUUCCCAAGUUCUCCCAUGUCACCCCAUUCUUCCGCACACUCCACUGGCUUCCAGUCGAAGCUCACAUCCACUACAAGACCAUGGUGCUUGCUUACGGACCAGCAAGAGGAACUGCCCCUCCCUACCUUUUAGGCUAUAUUCAAACCCUACACCCCCACCACUAGUCUCUUGGCCCUCCCAGUCCAAGUUCUUCUCUGUCCUGGCACCCCAAAGAUGGAACCAGUUUACCCCUGAAGCUAGGACAGCAGUCGCUGUCCCCCCUGCCGCCGCAAAAUAACUCAAAUGCAUCUGCAAAAUUACUGGAAGGUACAUGUAAAAUGUAAAGGAUCGUUUUUACUUACGAGUCAACUAAGACCUGCUCACUCGUUAAGUUCUUUGCAUUUGUUGAAGGUAUCCUGUUCCUGUUGUUUCCAACGUCAGGUCAACUGGUCUCUCAGCAACCUGUACAGUGGCAUUAGAACUGUGCUCCACUGUGGACAAAACAUCCAUAGUAGUUAACAAGACCCGGAAACGUCCUCCGCUCCUUCACAUUGGUAGGCGGAGGUGCCCCCUGGGUGGCUUUGAUUUUCUCUGUGGAUGGAUGGAUUCCUCUGCUAUCAAACACAUGACCUAGAUACUCGAUACAUGUUUUCCCAAACUCACAUUUGGACCUUUUUACUCAGUCUGUUCUCCAGAAGAAGUUGCAGUAGCUUUUGAAAGUUCCUCAGGUGCUCCUUUUCGUUCUGGCCUGUGAUUAACAGAUAAUCCAAGUAAGCGACUAGAUCAAGACCUUUCAUCAGAUUUUCCUCAGGUUUGAUUAGGAUAGUUGCUUUAAUGUCUAUCUCAUUCUAGAAUACUUCAGCAUGCAUCUCCAACACUUCCUGAAUAGAUUUAGCAUUUUCAAGCAUUUAUUUAAGUUGUACUCACAUGCUUAAUUUGUUUCCAGUUUAGCUUUUGUAACCAGUUCCUUCCACAUAAAGCUGGUCCAGAACAUUUAACAACUAUGAGUGGUAGAUCCUCACUUUGAUCCUCAUAGCUCAGUUUUACAGUAAACUGUCCCAUUACAGCAAUGUUCUGUCCUGUAUAAGUCUUUAGGUUGAUGGCUGCAUCCUCUAGUGGCAGAUGUGGAAAUACACUCAUACAGUUCAUGUGAAAUUAUGCUGACUGUAGUGAUGCACGGGUUGACCUAUGUGGUUAUGUCAAUGAAGGGUAGGUGGUAGGCGGAUUGAAUAAAGAGAAAAGAAUACCUUUAAAAAAUCCAUAAAUGUAUAAUUAUUGUGUAAUUUAUAUCUAUAGGCUUCAUUUAUCCUAAAAUAAUGAAAUGAUUAUUAGCAUUAGUGCAUAAUAAGCCUAAGCUUUAGGGCCUAACUGUAUGUGCAGCAAAUGGCCUACACGCCAAUCGCCAAAUACUUGUCACGCCCUGACCUUAGAGAGCCUUUUUUAUUCUCUAUUUGUUUAGGUCAGGGUGUGACUUGGGUGGGCAAAUGUAUGUGUUCUAUUUCUUUGUUGGCCAGGUAUGGUUCCCAAUCAGAGGCAGCUGUCUAUCGUUGUCUCUGAUUUGAGAUCAUACUUAGGCAGCCCUUUUUCCCACCUUCAGUUGUGGGAUCUUGUUUUUGUUAGUUGCUGUGUUAGCGCUACAAUACUUUACGUGUCGUUUAUCUUUCUUGUUUUUUUGGUGUUC